CCUGUCCCUAAAAGCAUUGCGGGUUGUGCUACAGUGUCACAUGUGUGUCAAUAGGCGGCAGAGAGGAGAAGGCUAUGUCUACUCUCAGGAUUCUGACCUGUGAACAUCUGAAUGAUUAGGAGCCUUACACU